GGGGGAUAACCAUUGGAAACGAUGGCUAAUACCGCAUAAUACCUUCGGGUCAAAGGGGGCUUUUAGCUCUCACCAUGGGAUGAACCUAAGCGAGAUUAGCUAGUUGGUAGGGUAAAGGCCUACCAAGGCGACGAUCUCUAGCUGUUCUGAGAGGAAGAUCAGCCACACUGGGACUGAGACACGGCCCAGACUCCUACGGGAGGCAGCAGUGGGGAAUAUUGCACAAUGGGGGAAACCCUGAUGCAGCCAUGCCGCGUGUGUGAAGAAGGCCUUCGGGUUGUAAAGCACUUUCAGUUGUGAGGAAAGGUUGGUAGUUAAUACCUGCCAGCUGUGACGUUAACAACAGAAGAAGCACCGGCUAACUCCGUGCCAGCAGCCGCGGUAAUACGGAGGGUGCGAGCGUUAAUCGGAAUUACUGGGCGUAAAGCGCACGCAGGCGGUUAUAUAAGCUAGAUGUGAAAGCCCCGGGCUUAACCUGGGAGAGUCAUUUAGAACUGUAUAACUAGAGUCAUUUAGAGGGGAGUGGAAUUCCAGGUGUAGCGGUGAAAUGCGUAGAGAUCUGGAGGAACAUCAGUGGCGAAGGGGCUCCCUGGAGAUAGACUGACGCUCAUGUGCGAAAGGUGGGUAGCGAACAGGAUUAGAUACCCUGGUAGUCCACGCCGUAAACGCUGUCUACUAGCUGUGUGAGAAUGUAUAUUUUUGCGUG
rnacentral:rRNA from 1 species